UACGUAGGGGGCUAGCGUUGUCCGGAUUUAUUGGGCGUAAAGAGCGUGUAGGCGGCUUGGUAGGUCCGCUGUGAAAACUCGAGGCUCAACCUCGAGAUGUCGGCGGAAACCGCUUGGCUAGAGUCCGGAAGAGGAGAGUGGAAUUCCCGGUGUAGCGGUGAAAUGCGCAGAUAUCGGGAAGAACACCAAUGGCGAAAGCAGCUCUCUGGGACGGUACUGACGCUGAGACGCGAAAGCGUGGGGAGCAAACAGG
rnacentral:rRNA from 1 species